GACGAACGCUGGCGGCGUGCUUAACACAUGCAAGUCGAACGGAAAGGCCCUGCUUUUGUGGGGUGCUCGAGUGGCGAACGGGUGAGUAACACGUGAGUAACCUGCCCUUGACUUUGGGAUAACUUCAGGAAACUGGGGCUAAUACCGGAUAGGAGCUCCUGCUGCAUGGUGGGGGUUGGAAAGUUUCGGCGGUUGGGGAUGGACUCGCGGCUUAUCAGCUUGUUGGUGGGGUAGUGGCUUACCAAGGCAUUGACGGGUAGCCGGCCUGAGAGGGUGACCGGCCACAUUGGGACUGCGAGACGGCCCAGACGGCUACGGGAGGCAGCAGGGGGGAAUAUUGCACAAUGGGCGGAAGCCUGAUGCAGCAGCGCCGGGGGCGGGAUGACGGCUUUCGGGGUGUAAACCGCUUUAGCCUGUGACGAAGCGGGAGUGACGGUAAUGGGUAAAGAAGCACCGGCUAACUACGUG
rnacentral:rRNA from 1 species